rnacentral:rRNA from 1 species
AUGAACGCUGGCGGCGUGCCUAAUACCUGCAAGUCGAGCGAACAGAUGAGGAGCUUGCUCCUCUGACGUUAGCGGCGGACGGGUGAGUAACACGUGGAUAACCUACCUAUAAGACUGGGAUAACUUCGGGAAACCGGAGCUAAUACCGGAUAAUAUAUUGAACCGCAUGGUUCAAUAGUGAAAGACGGUUUUGCUGUCACUUAUAGAUGGAUCCGCGCCGCAUUAGCUAGUUGGUAAGGUAACGGCUUACCAAGGCAACGAUGCGUAGCCGACCUGAGAGGGUGAUCGGCCACACUGGAACUGAGACACGGUCCAGACUCCUACGGGAGGCAGCAGUAGGGAAUCUUCCGCAAUGGGCGAAAGCCUGACGGAGCAACGCCGCGUGAGUGAUGAAGGUCUUCGGAUCCUAAAACUCUGUUAUUAGGGAAGAACAAAUGUGUAAGUAACUAUGCACGUCUUGACGGUACCUAAUCAGAAAGCCACGGCUAACUACGUG